rnacentral:rRNA from 1 species
UACGGAGGGUGCAAGCGUUAUUCGGAAUUAUUGGGCGUAAAGGGCGUGUAGGCGGCCAGAUAAGUCAGAUGUGAAAGCCCAGGGCUCAACCCUGGAAGUGCAUUUGAAACUAUUUGGCUUGAGUACCGGAGAGGGUGGCGGAAUUCCCGGUGUAGAGGUGAAAUUCGUAGAUAUCGGGAGGAACACCGGUGGCGAAGGCGGGUCUCUGGGCCGUAACUGACGCUGAGGAGCGAAAGCGUGGGGAGCGAAC